UCCUGGCUCAGGACGAACGCUGGCGGCAUACCUAAUACAUGCAAGUCGAGCGGACUUGAAGAGAAGCUUGCUUCUCUGAUGGUUAGCGGCGGACGGGUGAGUAACACGUAGGCAACCUGCCCUCAAGUUUGGGACAACUACCGGAAACGGUCGCUCAAACGGAAUAGUUGUUGUCUUCUCCUGAAGAGAACUGGAAAGACGGAGCAAU
rnacentral:rRNA from 1 species